rnacentral:rRNA from 1 species
UACAGAGGGGGCAAGCGUUGUUCGGAAUUACUGGGCGUAAAGGGUGCGUAGGCGGCGCGGUAAGUCGGGUGUGAAAUCUCGGAGCUUAACUCCGAAACUGCAUUCGAGACUGCGUAGCUAGGGUGCGGAAGAGGGAAGCGGAAUUUCCGGUGUAGCGGUGAAAUGCGUAGAUAUCGGAAGGAACACCAGUGGCGAAAGCGGCUUCCUGGUCCGCACCGACGUUCAGGC